CUGGGGGCGGGAGUGAGAGCCAAUGGCCAGGAAGGAGCCGCUGCUGAUCGCCCUCAAAGGUGGGGUGCUGCGGCUGCGGGAGGUCGGGGGACCCUGCACGGACACCUCGCCUCACCUCGCCUCGCUUUGCCAGCUGUUGGAGAACAUCCUGCGCAAGGGACUCCAGCAGCCAGCCUGGGGCUUCAGGAGACGGGAUUACUGGCACUGGCUGGAGCAGCUUCCCACGGCGGGCACUGGCAGGCUAAGCCCCCUCUCCACCAGCAUCCAAAAAGCAGGUGGCUGUGAGAAGGUGCAGACAGCACAGGGCCAUGGGCGGUACUUCCUGCGCUUGGCCCUGCAGGAGAAGGUGCUGGCAGCGGCUGUGAGGGAGCUGGCACAGACUCCCAGGCUCCUGGAGUUUUACGAUCCAGUGAGCUCCAUCCUCGGCAAUGAAGAACUGCUGGAGCCUUUCCUCUCGCUGCUGCUGGUGGUGACAGAGAUGGAUUUCUCCCUGGACCUGCAGAAUUGCAGCUUCUUGGACGAGAGCUGGCUGCUGCCGGUGUGCAUCACUUAUGAGAUGGUCCCGUGCCACACACUGGGGAUGGUGCUCAGGUAUGUGGAUGGCCGAGUCUUUGUCACCGAGGUGCUCCCUGAGAGCCAGGCAGAGGUGGAUGAGGUGGUGCUGGCUGGUGACAUCCUUGAUGAGAUCAAUGGCUGCUCACUGAGAAAUGCCUACAGUGGGCAGGCUGGGGCCUUGCUGCAGAAGCUGAAGGGACAACCACUCAGCUUCCGCCUGCUGCGGUGGCGGUGGCACGAUGGGGAGGUCUAUGAGCCACUGCUGCCCUACCUGAAGGUCCUGAAGGAGAAGGAGCCCAAGUUCCAGCUCCAGCACAGCCCCCGGCGCAGAGGCAAGGAGGAGCCACGGCGGCUGCAGGGGGGCAGGCUGCUCUACAAGCUGCGGUACCUCGGCCAGACCAGCGUUGGGAAGUAUGGUGGCAAAGAGGUGCUGGCCCAUGCCAUCCCCGCCGUGCUGGAGAGACGCUCACCAGUGCGGGAGGUUUUGUUUGACGUGAAAGAAACAGAAGUCCUUGUGCAGGAGAGGAAUUCUUCCAAGCUCCUGUGCCGCUACCCUUACCCCACCAUCUCCUGCGUGGGACGCUGCACGGACAGCAGCCAUUUAUUUGGCUUCUGCGUGGCCACUUCCCCAGAGAGCCCUGAUGGGAGCACAUUCGACUGCCUGGUGUUUGCAUCCAGUUCUGAGCAGGAAUGUGAGGAAAUCAUCAGGAGAAUCGCUGCAGGGUUUAAGCACACGGAGUGGUUCGUGUGAUAAAGGAGCCUUGGCUGCAGCCCUGAGGUUGCCCAGCAGCACACCAACUGGCACAGACCCUGAUACACGGGGAGCAGGAGCCCAGAUGGAGUCUGAACAGCUCUGCUCCACCACAACCCAACCAGGUAGGGCUGCUGAGGAAACCAGCACACUCUCAGGCCCCAGAGCUGCUCCCAAGUGAAGGUCCAAGUGUAAUCCUGCCUCAUCAAAAAAGGCUUAGAUGGGAAAUGAGUCUUACCCCACGCCCAUCCAGCUGCUCAGCAGCCCAUAUGCUCUCAGGCUGUAUAAUGAGCUUCACCACAGCACUGGCUGCUGUUAUUAACUGGGACUUAGUCAUGUGGACAGGCCCCACAAACUCCCCCACACUACAGCAGGCACCACUCUGGUUUUGCUUCAAGCAGGACCCAUCAGUCACACCACCGAACUCACCCCUGCAUCUACUGGAAAGGAGGAAAGGCUAGAGCUGUGCCUGAAAGCUUAAGUCAUAAAGCUAACACUUCACACAAAAAAAGAUCUACCACGAGGCUGGUACCUAGGUUCCUUCUCUGCUCCAUGCCCCAGGGCCUCAGCUCUUCCUGGCUAAGAGCAGUGACUCAACUACAGAAGCCUCCAAAGAGGGCCAGGGCAAGUUCUCCAUGCUGUUGGCAUACAAGGUUAAGUUGCCAGAGCAGCACUGCAGGACUAGAGAGCACCUAACCAGAGCCAGGAGGAAAAAGCAGCUUCAAGCCCAUACAAACCAAAUGACAAAGAGUCCUCACAUGUGAAUGUAAAACAUUUAAUUUAAAAAUGUUGACACUACAAUAUAUAAAAUAGCUAUUAUAAAUGCACAUAGUGUAUUCUAUAGCUGCCAGGUUUACUUUUUUUUUUCUUUUAGGAAACUGUAAGUUACACUGUGGUUAAGACUUGUAGCUUCACCCUCCGAAAAGUCCACAUUUGAUCACAGUGAUGUAUGGUCAGACUAACAGCCCCAAUUGUUAAACACUUGGAUCAAGUCAUAACCAGUUUUAUUGCAAAAGGACCCUGUACACAUUUAUAUCAAUUCUAGUACCUUACAAGUUUAGCUACCCAACAAGUCAUUAACAUACAGAAACAUGCAUGAGAAGCAAGAAAGAU